GUGGCGAACGGGUGAGUAACACGUGAGUAACCUGCCCUUAACUCUGGGAUAAGCCUGGGAAACUGGGUCUAAUACCGGAUAGGAGCGCCUACCGCAUGGUGGGUGUUGGAAAGAUUUAUCGGUUUUGGAUGGACUCGCGGCCUAUCAGCUUGUUGGUGAGGUAAUGGCUCACCAAGGCGACGACGGGUAGCCGGCCUGAGAGGGUGACCGGCCACACUGGGACUGAGACACGGCCCAGACUCCUACGGGAGGCAGCAGUGGGGAAUAUUGCACAAUGGGCGCAAGCCUGAUGCAGCGACGCCGCGUGAGGGAUGACGGCCUUCGGGUUGUAAACCUCUUUCAGUAGGGAAGAAGCGAAAGUGACGGUACCUGCAGAAGAAGCACCGGCUAACUACGUGCCAGCAGCCGCGGUAAUACGUAGGGUGCGAGCGUUAUCCCGAAUUAUUGGGCGUAAAGAGCUCGUAAGCGGUUUGUCGCGUCUGUCGUGAAAGUACGGGGCAUUAACCCCGGAUCUGCCGUGGGUACGGGCAGACUAGAGUGCA
rnacentral:rRNA from 1 species